UCUCCCCCAAGAGUUCACAUCGACGGGGAGGUUUGGCACCUCGAUGUCGGCUCAUCGCAUCCUGGGGCUGUAGUCGGUCCCAAGGGUUGGGCUGUUCGCCCAUUAAAGCGGUACGCGAGCUGGGUUCAGAACGUCGUGAGACAGUUCGGUCCCUAUCCGUCGUGGGCGUAGGAAAUUUGAGAGGAGCUGUCCUUAGUACGAGAGGACCGGGAUGGACGCACCGCUGGUGUACCAGUUGUUCCGCCAGGAGCAUCGCUGGGUAGCUAUGUGCGGAAGGGAUAAGCGCUGAAAGCAUCUAAGUGCGAAGCCCCCCUCAAGAUGAGAUUUCCGAUGCGAAAGCAGUAAGACACCUUAAAGACGAUGAGGUAGAUAGGCUAGGAGUGGAAGCAUAGCGAUAUGUGGAGCGGACUAGUACUAAU
rnacentral:rRNA from 12 species